UCCAGACUCCUACGGGAGGCAGCAGUGAGGAAUAUUGGUCAAUGGGCGGAAGCCUGAACCAGCCAAGUCGCGUGAGGGAAGAAGGCCCUGCGGGUCGCAGACCUCUUUGGACGGGGAGCAAGGCCGCCGACGUGUCGGCGGAAGGAGAGUACCCGUAGAACAAGCAUCGGCUAACUCCGUGCCAGCAGCCGCGGUAAUACGGAGGAUGCGAGCGUUAUCCGGAUUUAUUGGGUUUAAAGGGUGCGUAGGCGGACUGGAAAGUCAGCGGUAAAAUCGAGAGGCUCAACCUCUUUCCGCCGUUGAAACUGUCGGUCUUGAGUGGGUGAGAAGUAUGCGGAAUGCGUGGUGUAGCGGUGAAAUGCAUAGAUAUCACGCAGAACUCCGAUUGCGAAGGCAGCAUACCGGCGCCCGACUGACGCUGAGGCACGGAAGCGUGGGUAUCGAACAGGAUUAGAUACCCUGGUACG
rnacentral:rRNA from 1 species